GAGUUUUGCUCGUUGCCCAGGCUGGAGUGCAAUGGCGUGAUCUCAGCUCACCACAACCUCCACCUCCGGGGUUCAAGCCAUUCUCCUGCCUCCAACUCCCGAGUAGCUGAGAUUACAGGCAUGUGCCACCACGCCCAGCUAAGGCUUUGUAUUUUUAGUAGAGACAGGGUUUCUCCAUGUUGGUCAGGCUGAUCUUAAACUCCCGACCUCAGGUGAUCCACCCGCGUUGGCCUCUCAAAGUGCUGGAAUUACAGGCGUGAGCCACCACGCCCAGCCCUCCUUUCUUUUUGAAUAGUCCUGGCACCGUUGCCAAAGAUGAGUUGACCAUAUAUGCAUAGGUUUAUUUCUGCAUCAGUUCCAAUCAUUUAUUUAUAUGUCUAUCCUUAUGCCAAUACCACAGUUUUGAUUAUUGUACCUUUUUAUUGUUUGAAAUGAGAAAGUAUGAGUCCUUGUAUUUUAUUCAAGAUUGUUUUGGCUAUUUGGGGGCCAUUUGCAAUUUAUUAUUAAUUUUAGGAUCAAUUUGUCAAUUUCAACAAAAACAUUAAAUUUGAAAGGGAUUACAUUGCAUCCGUAGACCAAUUUGUGGAGUACUGCCAUCUUAACAAUAUUAUACUUUCCAAUCCAUGAACGUGGAAUGUCUUACCAUUUAUUUAGAUCAUCUUUAAUUUUUUUUUCACCAAAGUUUUAGUUCUUUUGCUUGUUUUGAGACAGGGUCUCACUCUAUUGCCCAGGCUGGAGUGGAAUGGCAGGAACACAGCUCACUGCAGCCUUAGUCUCCUGGGCUCAAGUGAUCCUCCCACCACAGCCUCCCAAGUAGCUGGGACCACAGGCAGCUGCCACCGGGUCCAGCCUUGGCUUCCCAACGUGCUGGGAUUACAGCUGUGAGCCACCAAGCCCAGCUACAGCUCUCAAGAAGUACAGUCUUGUACUUCUUUUAUUAAAUUUAUGCCUACUUUAUACUUUAUGAUGCUAUGGUAAAUGGAAUUGUUUUCUUAAUUUGCUACUGAUUUUAAAAUCCACUACCUAUGUGAGUUGAACUGCGCUUACACACAUCACUGAAAUGUCCCACUCUCAGAAGUGGCCCAGCCUCCCCAGGCCCACCAGGCCUUCUUCUCCUUCCAGCCCUCUGUCCAGGCAAGAACUCGAUUGGAGGCCUUUCUGGGCACUCAGAGGGACACACCACCACACUAGGAGGGUUAGCUUAAAAAAUUCAACAAGCAUGGCCAGGCGCAGUGGCUUUUGCCUGAAUGCUACCACUUUGGGAGGCCGAGGCAGGAAGACUGCUUGAGCCCAGGGGUUCAAGACCAGCCUAGACCAUAUAGCAAGAGCCCGUCCCUCCGGAAAAUGUAAAAAAAAAAAAAAAAAUUCAACGAGCAUAUUUUCAUCCCCUACUUUUUUUUGAGAUGGAGCCUCGCUCUGUCGCCCAAGCUGGGGUGCAGUGGCACGAUCUCGGCUCACUGCAACCUCCGCCAGCCGGGUUCAAGCGAUUCUCCUGCCUCAGCCUCCCGAGUAGCUGGGACUACAGGCGCCCGCCACCACGCCCGGUUAAUUUUUUGUGUUUUCAGUAGAGACGGGGUUUCACCGUGUUAGCCAGGAUGGUCUCGAUCUCCUGACCUCGUGAUCCGCCCGCCUCGUCCUCCCAAAGUGUUGGAAUUACAGGCGUCAGCCACCGCGCCCGGCGGUGCAGGAAUUUUAAAACUCGCCAAAAUACGCCCUCCUUCAGAAAAUCCCUGCCACCUCGAUAGGACGUCCUCUUCUUGAGCUCCCCUCUCCGGCCCUCCCUGAUACCGCAAGGUUGAGCAUUCGGGCACUGGCUUCCCGAACUCACUUCGACUCAGGCACAGCAGGCAAAGAUUCAAUGGGUAGGGCCGGACCGACUGCCCGACCUUCGCGGUGCUUCACUUGCCUCACUGCGCAUGUGCCAAAGACAAUCACCCAAAGUACUCGAAACACAGCGGGAGGGCCGGCCCUUGCGCAGGCGUACUAGCGGCCGUAGGGAGCGCUUCCUCCUCCCCGCCGCCGCCGCCCUCGCAAUGGCCGCGCCGGCCCCGGGCCUCAUCUCGGUGUUCUCGAGUCCCCAGGAGCUGGGUGCGGCGCUAGCGCAGCUGGUGGCCCAGCGCGCAGCAUGCUGCCUGGCAGGGGCCCGCGCCCGUUUCGCGCUCGGCCUGUCGGGCGGGAGCCUCGUCUCGAUGCUAGCCCGCGAGCUACCCGCCGCCGUCGCCCCUGCCGGGCCAGCCAGCUUAGCGCGCUGGACGCUGGGCUUCUGCGAUGAGCGCCUCGUGCCCUUCGAUCACGCCGAGAGCACGUACGGCCUCUACCGGGUGAGAGCUACGGGGGCCGCCAGGGAUCACGCCGAGAGGGCCACAGCCACCGCGUACACCCCGGCUACGGAGGCCGCCGGGGGCCAUGCCGAAAGGGCCGCGCCCACUAUCUGCACCUCGGCUACGGGGGCCACUGGGUAUCAUGCCAAGCGGGCCGUGCCCACUGCCUGCACCUCGGCUACGUGGGUCGCUGGGGGUCAUGCCAAGAGGGCCGCGCCCACCGGUUGCCCUCGGCUACGGGGGCCACUGGGGGUCAUGCCAAGAUGGUCACGCCCACUGCCUGCACCUCGACUACGGGGGCCGCUGGGGGUCUAGCCGACAGGGCUCGCCCGCCGCCUGAACCCCGCCUACGGUGGGUCCCGCAGGACCUCACUGCGCCCUCUGCCUUUAUCUGGGCAGGGCUAGAAAUGGUCUACUUGCAGUCCGUCUUCAUGCUUCAUCCGGUGGCCAGGCAGAGGGAACGGCACGGGCAAGGACCUGGAAGGGAAUCCGAGUGGCCCAUGUCAAACGAUGCCCAUAACUCAGCCCCGUAGCGGACGGGGGCACGAGGAAUCAGGUGUAGAGCCUGAGUCUCAGGGUCCUGCUCUCUAACCCCAGCGAGUUCUCGGGGAUCCCUGGGCAGCUUUGCCGCUCUGAUGGCUCUGCUUCCAGGCUGUUCAUCUUUGGCUUUGAGCCUCAGGAUUCUAUAGAAUCAGAGGAGCGCGCUCUUUUAAAGACAGGGUAACUGAGGCUUGGAGGAGCCUUGGCCUGGCCGAGGGAAGAGUGGGAGGGGCGGGCUCAAAGGCCAGGAACCUCAAGUCACCUGAGCCUGGCAGCGUCAAGGGACACCCCAUGCUGGGUGUGCCGUCUUCUCUUUGCAUAGAAUCUUGAGCUGAUGAUGGUUUUGUGGGUUUUUUAUUAAGAGAAAAGGCUUACUGAACGCUUUAUAUGCAUCAAUUCAUGAGUCCGUACCACAGCCUAUGAGAUGUUACACUCAUUUCACAGAUGGAGAAACUGAGGCCAGAAGAGGCGAGCUUACCUGCCCAAGGCAUCUAGUGACCAGAGGGGCAGCCAGGGUGUGAUCCUGCCUCAUCUGACUUCGUAGUUGGACGCAUCUUCUCUCCAGACUGCCGAUCCCAGAAAGCCAGGUGAUCACCAUUAACCCCGAGCUGCCUGUGGAGGAGGCGGCUGAGGACUACGCCAAGAAGCUGAGACAGGCAUUCCAAGGGGACUCCAUCCCAGUUUUCGACCUGCUGAUCCUGGGGGUGGGCCCCGAUGGUCACACCUGCUCACUCUUCCCAGACCACCCCCUCCUACAGGAGCGGGAGAAGAUUGUGGCUCCCAUCAGUGACUCCCCGAAGCCACCACCACAGCGUGUGACCCUCACACUACCUGUCCUGAAUGCAGCACGAACUGUCAUCUUUGUGGCAACUGGAGAAGGCAAGGCAGCUGUUCUGAAGCGCAUUUUGGAGGACCAGGAGGAAAACCCUCUGCCCGCCGCCCUGGUCCAGCCCCACACCGGGAAACUGUGCUGGUUCUUGGACGAGGCGGCCGCCCGCCUCCUGACCGUGCCCUUCGAGAAGCAUUCCACUUUGUAGCUGGCCAGAGGGACGCCGCAGCUGGGACCAGGCACGUGGCCCAUGGGGCUGGGCCCCUGCUGGCCGCUACUCUCCGGGCUCUCCUUUCAAAAAGCCACGUCGUGCUGCUGCUAGAAGCCAACAGCCUCCGGCCAGCAGCCCUGCCCGGGGCUCAACACACAGGCUGUGGCUCUGGACAUCCGGAUAUUAAAAGGAGCGUUGCUGGAA